rnacentral:lncRNA from 1 species
AGUGCUGAAAAAUACCAGUUGGCUUUACUAAUUGUGGAUUUUGCUUUCCUCUAAGCUUUCCUUUUGACCAGAACCGCUGGUGUUUUGUUUCUAUCUGAGAGCAGGGAGACUGAUAUCAAGCAGCAGCACACUGCCCAAAUGGCUGAAAUGAAAUGGUGUUAUUCCACUGGAAAAAUAUUGACUAUAAAAUCCUGACCUUGGAAAGUGGACCUGAAGAGAGACUCACAUUUAUUUCCAGUGUGUUGGAUGACUGUGACUCUAACUAAAUGGAACAAUGUCUUCAUCCAUUUUUGGUACUCAGGUUCUCUUCCUGCUUCUCUGUUAUGUUUUGAAGCAACUGAGAGACCCUCAACAGAGGCCAAACAGAUGUAGCCACUCAUCUUAGAAUUUUGGCCUCCAAAACUUCCAAGCAGCUUGCCAGUCUUAGAAGAAUGAAAGACAAAUGGAGAAUCUAUGGCCUGAUGGCAAAACCACAUAAGCUCAGCCUAAAUCUGCCAAAUUCCAGCUGUCUCAAG